rnacentral:rRNA from 1 species
ACCAGUUUAAAUUUAAAUUUUUUGCAAUAUCCCAUAGCGGAGGAAAAGAAACCAACUGGGAUUACCUUAGUAACGGCGAGUGAAGCGGUAAAAGCUCAAAUUUGAAAUCUGGUACUUUCAGUGCCCGAGUUGUAAUUUGUAGAAUUUGUCUUUGAUUAGGUCCUUGUCUAUGUUCCUUGGAACAGGACGUCAUAGAGGGUGAGAAUCCCGUUUGGCGAGGAUACCUUUUCUCUGUAAGACUUUUUCGAAGAGUCGAGUUGUUUGGGAAUGCAGCUCAAAGUGGGUGGUAAAUUCCAUCUAAAGCUAAAUAUUGGCGAGAGACCGAUAGCGAACAAGUACAGUGAUGGAAAGAUGAAAAGAACUUUGAAAAGAGAGUGAAAAAGUACGUGAAAUUGUUGAAAGGGAAGGGCAUUUGAUCAGACAUGGUGUUUUUUGCAUGCACUCGCCUCUCGUGGGCUUGGGCCUCUCAAAAAUUUCACUGGGCCAACAUCAAUUCUGGCAGCAGGAUAAAUCAUUAAGAAUGUAGCUACUUCGGUAGUGUUAUAGCUUUUUGGAAUACUGUUAGCCGGGAUUGAGGACUGCGCUUCGGCAAGGAUGUUGGCAUAAUGGUUAAAUGCCGCCCGUCUUGAACAACGG